UUGAAGGACACACUGAGCACUAAAGAACUUGGACAGGACAAGGGGACUUCUCGGUGGCAAAAUGACCUAGGCCCUGAAGAGGGGAAUCUGCCUUCUGUACAGGUUGACUGGUGGUCCUCUCCUUUUCCUGGCUCAUUUUUCUAUCUGGCUCAGAAACAACACUGGGGGAAGACAGCGAUCCUAGGAAAACCUGUGGAUCCUCCCGAACACAUGCCAGGUUGGAGAAGUGGACGCACGGCAGGUUUUACUAACUCCUAUGUGCAAACCUACAGUCAAGCUGGGGUUCUUAACAACUCAGACUUUGCUGGUGAGGCACACACACUGAUGCUUGGGAGGAAGGCCUUUCACUGCUGACCCAGGAACCAAAAGGAACCAGAGAAAAGCACGUGGACCAGGCCCAGGCACCCCGGGUAUUCUAAUACGUUUGGGAAAUUGUGCAGGAUGGCACUGAGCUGAACACUGUGAAUGGUGAUUUUAAAAUAAAUGAUGCCUUCAGUAAGAGUUUCUCUCUGUACCAAACUACAGUGUGUGUGUAUCUGCAGGAUGAAGGUUUACAGGGACACCAUGACCUGACCCACGUGGACAGCUGUAAGAACAAAGGAUUCCAAGAACAAAGAAUUCCUACACCAAGAAAUUUGCAACAAUCAAGCAUAUCCCUUCACUUUUGAGUAUUAAAGGAGCCUGAAUUCUGACUUGGGGAAGAUGGUUCUCCAGGACAUUAAUCUGCCAUCUUCUCGGUCUGCCAGCUCUCCGAAUAAAGUUAUUAUUCCUUACUCCAACACCUUGUCUCCCGGUUUAUUGGGCUAU